UGCAGGUUCUAAAUGGCUUCUAAUAAGUUGGGAUCUGACUCUCAUGAUCGUCUCCUUUACUGUGGCCCAAUGAUCCUGCUGCAAGACAGGCCUUUCAGUUAUCUUGAUGAUGUCCCAUUUAGAAUAGGAGACAAAUUCAAAAUCCCAUCAAAGGUUGGAUUGCCCAUUGGUUUCUGCCUGCCUGAUGCUUCUCGGCUUGUCAGAGAAGCCCUGUAUGACUUCUCACUGGAAAAGAAAACAAUCAAGUGGUCUGAAGAUAUAAAAAAAAUUGAAGCUGCCCUGAGAGAAGCUGAACUCAAGGCAGAAGCAGCCCUAGUGAACUCAAAAGCAAUUCCAGAGGACAGCAACAAAAUGGAGUUCUCAAAGGGACUUUGUCCUGAGGUCAUGCCUCCUCCUAUUAACCCCCUCCUUGCUAGCCUGCAGUACAAUAAUAUUCUUACUCCCACACCAGCUGACAGCAGUGCUGUGAAGCAAAAGGUUCUUCGUCCACCUUGUCCAAAAGCAGACUUCAACCCAGCUGAUUUUGAAUGUGAAGAUGACCCAUUUAACAAACUGGAAUUAAAAACUAUUGAUGAUAAGGAGGAAUUAAAAAAUAUUCUUGAAAUUCAUGUUGGUACUACUGGGCCGGAUUUUGCUCAGUUGUUAGUUAAUACUUUGCCCAAAGGAGGAUCUGAAUCUGUGUUGCAAGACGAGGAAAUUCUGGCAUCUGUAGAAAGGACCACGUUGGAUUUCAAGCCCCUUCACAAACCCAAUGGUUUUAUCACUUUACCACAGUUGGAAAACUGUGAAAAGUUGUCUUUGUCUUCCAAAGUGUCCCUGUCCCCUAUCACUUCAGUGAGCAAUAUCAAAUCCCUGUCCUUUCCUAAACUUGAAUCUGAUGACAGUGGUCAUAAAUCAUCAAAGCUCACAAGCACUUUCCACAGCAUUAACUGUCUUCACAAUGGCACUUUUCUCAGCUCUUUGCAGACCUUUGCUCAGAGUAAAGGUAUUGAACUGAGUGGACACCAUAUGGUUGGUCUUUCCACUCUAAAUGAGGACAGUGGCAUGGAGACAUCCACGUUAUCCUCUUCAUCCAGGCUGCCUUCCCUGGCUGGGUCAACAGUUUGUACAGAAGAAGAAUCAACAUUUCCAAGUACAACAACUAUGGUACACCCAGACUUCAAGGAAAUGGAAAUCCCUCUGGUAACACACCAAAAUUUCCCAGUGUCUAAAGUGCCUGUUAACACCAUCUGCACAAAGCAGUUGGGUGGCUCUGAACUACAGCAGGUCCUCUCUGCUAGUGAGAGGCAGUGCGUAGAGACGGUCAUCAGCACGGGGUACUCGCCUGAGAAUGCCCUGAAAGCCAUAAAGAAGAAGGGACAGAACAUCGAUCAGGUUUUGGAUUACCUGUUUGCACAUGGACAGCUUUGUGAGAAGGGCUUUGAUCCACUUCUUGUUGAAGCAGCUUUGGAAAUGCACCAGUGUUCAGAGGAGAAGGCAAGGGUACAACAUGCUAAGGAAUAAAGAGAAUGUGCCAUGAUGGGGAAUUCCAGCAGCAGUUCCCCCGGCUGAUGUAUUUCUGACUUUUAUGAUCACAGAACUUCUCCAAUUAAUGAGUCGAUUUAAAGAAAUGGGCUUUGAAAUAAAAGACAUUAAGGAGGUCUUAUUAUUACAUAACAACAACCAACACAACGCUUUGGAAGAUCUAAUGGCUCGUGCAGGAGCCAGCUGAAAUCCAGCCAGCUGGAUUCUUGGUAUGCAGUGGAGCAGGUCCAGCCCCGUCACCUUCAUAUCCAGUGUGACUUGCUCUCAGAAGGAAGGAGUCCAGCUUUUUCCAUAUAUGGGAAAGUGACUGAGCAAGCCUGCCCAUGUGCAUCACUAGCAUUUCUCUUUCCAAUGAGAACCAACUUUCUUAAUUUAAAUUUUUAAAUGUCCUUUCCUACUUUUCCAUCUUGGCCACGGAGUAUAGACUGCCCAAAAUGUACUGGAUUUAUACAUAGGUAGAGACAGGAGUGGUUUCUCAUUGUUGCACUGGAGUAGGAUAGAAGAAUACUUAGUUCUGAAACUAGGAUGCCCUGG